rnacentral:rRNA from 1 species
UACGGAGGAUCCGAGCGUUAUCCGGAUUUAUUGGGUUUAAAGGGUGCGCAGGCGGAAUAUUAAGUCGGCGGUGAAAGUUUGCAGCUUAACUGUAAAAGUGCCAUCGAUACUGGUUUCCUUGAGUGUAGAUGAAGUAGGCGGAAUUUGUGGUGUAGCGGUGAAAUGCAUAGAUAUCACGAGGAACUCCGAUUGCGCAGGCAGCUUACUAAACUACUACUGACGCUCAGGCACGAAGGCGUGGGGAUCAAACAGGAUUAGAUACCCCGGUAGU